rnacentral:lncRNA from 1 species
UAUUUUUUGAAUAUCAAAAACUAUUUAAAAUGAAUUAAAAACAACCAGAAAAGAGAAAAUUCACAAAAAAUAUCAGAUGAUGAAAUAAAAAAUAUUAAAAAUCAAAAAUAGAAACUAGAAAUUAUUUGGAGAAGAAUGCAAUUGGUCCCAUAAUUUUUGGACCAAUAAUAAAAGAGAUAUGAAUUUUUGAAAUAAAAGGAAAUAAAGAAAAUAAAAUCAAAAAAUC